UACGAACUGUGCAAACGUUAUUCGGAAUCACUGGGCUUAAAGGGUGCGUAGGCGGCUUGUUAAGCAGGGUGUGAAAGCCCUCGGCUCAACCGAGGAAUAGCGCUCUGAACUGGCGAGCUGGAGUGAUGCAGGGGUGCGCGGAACUUCCAGUGGAGCGGUGAAAUGUGUUGAUAUUGGAAGGAACACCGGAGGCGAAAGCGGCGCACUGGGCAUUGUCUGACGCUGAGGCACGAAAGCCAGGGGAGCAAACGGG
rnacentral:rRNA from 1 species